rnacentral:rRNA from 1 species
CCUACGGGAGGCAGCAGUGGGGAAUAUUGCACAAUGGGGGAAACCCUGAUGCAGCGACGCCGCGUGAGUGAAGAAGUAAUUCGUUAUGUAAACCUCUGUCAGCAGGGAAGAACGGUCACUGUGCUAAUCAGCAGUGAAUUGACGGUACCUGCAAAGGAAGCACCGGCUAACUCCGGGCCAGCAGCCGCGGUAAUACGGAGGGUGCGAGCGUUAAUCGGAAUUACUGGGCGUAAAGCGCUCGUAGGCGGUAUGUCAAGUCAAGGGUGAAAGCCCCGCGCUCAACGUGGGAACUGCCUUUGAAACUGGCAAACUGGAGUGUGUGAGAGGAUAGUGGAAUUCCAGGUGUAGGAGUGAAAUCCGUAGAUAUCUGGAGGAACAUCAGUGGCGAAGGCGACUAUCUGGCACAUAACUGACGCUGAGGAGCGAAAGCGUGGGUAGCAAACAGGAUUAGAUACCCCUGUAGUC